GAAGGCCUCCAGGUGGUCAACUGGGUCCGAAGUCCCAUCGUAGCUUUCAAACUGAGGGAGCUUGAAGUUUGGCGGGAUUGGUUCCUGCAUGAUCAUUUGAGAAAACGAAGGGUCAGUACAAAUGUCCUCACCAUAAGCGGGGGGAGCGUGGCGGAGUUCUUCGAUCCGUCGGUUCAUCUCUUGGAGCCUCUGGUCCAGGAAAUCCUCUCGACUACGGGUCUCGAGGGUUUU
rnacentral:lncRNA from 1 species